rnacentral:rRNA from 1 species
AUCUGCGAUAAGCGCCGGUAAGGUGAUAUGAACCGUUAUAACCGGCGAUACCCGAAUGGGGAAACCCAGUGUGAUUCGUCACACUAUCAUUAACUGAAUCCAUAGGUUAAUGAGGCGAACCGGGGGAACUGAAACAUCUAAGUACCCCGAGGAAAAGAAAUCAACCGAGAUUCCCCCAGUAGCGGCGAGCGAACGGGGAGGAGCCCAGAGCCUGAAUCAGCAUGUGUGUUAGUGGAAGCGUCUGGAAAGGCGCGCGAUACAGGGUGACAGCCCCGUACACAAAAGCGCAUGUGCUGUGAGCUCGAUGAGUAGGGCGGGACACGUGGUAUCCUGUCUGAAUAUGGGGGGACCAUCCUCCAAGGCUAAAUACUCCUGACUGACCGAUAGUGAACCAGUACCGUGAGGGAAAGGCGAAAAGAACCCCGGCGAGGGGAGUGAAAAAGAACCUGAAACCGUGUACGUACAAGCAGUGGGAGCACCCUUCGGGGUGUGACUGCGUACCUUUUGUAUAAUGGGUCAGCGACUUAUAUUCUGUAGCAAGGUUAACCGUAUAGGGGAGCCGGAGGGAAACCGAGUCUUAAUUGGGCGUUAAGUUGCAGGGUAUAGACCCGAAACCCGGUGAUCUAGCCAUGGGCAGGUUGAAGGUUGGGUAACACUAACUGGAGGACCGAACCGACUAAUGUUGAAAAAUUAGCGGAUGACCUGUGGCUGGGGGUGAAAGGCCAAUCAAACCGGGAGAUAGCUGGUUCUCCCCGAAAGCUAUUUAGGUAGCGCCUCGUGAAUUCAUCUCCGGGGGUAGAGCACUGUUUCGGCUAGGGGGCCAUCCCGGCUUACCAACCCGAUGCAAACUGCGAAUACCGGAGAAUGUUAUCACGGGAGACACACGGCGGGUGCUAACGUCCGUCGUGAAGAGGGAAACAACCCAGACCGCCAGCUAAGGUCCCAAAGUCAUGGUUAAGUGGGAAACGAUGUGGGAAGGCCCAGACAGCCAGGAUGUUGGCUUAGAAGCAGCCAUCAUUUAAAGAAAGCGUAAUAGCUCACUGGUCGAGUCGGCCUGCGCGGAAGAUGUAACGGGGCUAAACCAUGCACCGAAGCUGCGGCAGCGAACGUAUCACCCAAGACAACUUUACGGAGUUGACGAUUGACGGAGCGAAGCGACGUCAAAGCGUUCAUUAAAGUCGAGUUGGCUUAGGGAUACGUUCGUUGGGUAGGGGAGCGUUCUGUAAGCCUGUGAAGGUGUGUCGUGAGGCAUGCUGGAGGUAUCAGAAGUGCGAAUGCUGACAUAAGUAACGAUAAAGCGGGUGAAAAGCCCGCUCGCCGGAAGACCAAGGGUUCCUGUCCAACGUUAAUCGGGGCAGGGUGAGUCGACCCCUAAGGCGAGGCCGAAAGGCGUAGUCGAUGGGAAACGGGUUAAUAUUCCCGUACUUGGUGUUACUGCGAAGGGGGGACGGAGAAGGCUAUGUUGGCCGGGCGACGGUUGUCCCGGUUUAAGCGUGUAGGUGUGUGUUCCAGGUAAAUCCGGUUCACUUUAACACUGAGGCGUGACGACGAGGCACUACGGUGCUGAAGCAACAAAUGCCCUGCUUCCAGGAAAAGCCUCUAAGCAUCAGGUAACACGAAAUCGUACCCCAAACCGACACAGGUGGUCAGGUAGAGAAUACCAAGGCGCUUGAGAGAACUCGGGUGAAGGAACUAGGCAAAAUGGUGCCGUAACUUCGGGAGAAGGCACGCUGACACGUAGGUGAAGUGAUUUACUCAUGGAGCUGAAGUCAGUCGAAGAUACCAGCUGGCUGCAACUGUUUAUUAAAAACACAGCACUGUGCAAACACGAAAGUGGACGUAUACGGUGUGACGCCUGCCCGGUGCCGGAAGGUUAAUUGAUGGGGUCAGCGCAAGCGAAGCUCCUGAUCGAAGCCCCGGUAAACGGCGGCCGUAACUAUAACGGUCCUAAGGUAGCGAAAUUCCUUGUCGGGUAAGUUCCGACCUGCACGAAUGGCGUAAUGAUGGCCAGGCUGUCUCCACCCGAGACUCAGUGAAAUUGAACUCGCUGUGAAGAUGCAGUGUACCCGCGGCAAGACGGAAAGACCCCGUGAACCUUUACUAUAGCUUGACACUGAACAUUGAGCCUUGAUGUGUAGGAUAGGUGGGAGGCUUUGAAGUGUGGACGCCAGUCUGCAUGGAGCCGACCUUGAAAUACCACCCUUUAAUGUUUGAUGUUCUAACGUGGACCCGUAAUCCGGGUUGCGGACAGUGUCUGGUGGGUAGUUUGACUGGGGCGGUCUCCUCCUAAAGAGUAACGGAGGAGCACGAAGGUUGGCUAAUCCUGGUCGGACAUCAGGAGGUUAGUGCAAUGGCAUAAGCCAGCUUGACUGCGAGCGUGACGGCGCGAGCAGGUGCGAAAGCAGGUCAUAGUGAUCCGGUGGUUCUGAAUGGAAGGGCCAUCGCUCAACGGAUAAAAGGUACUCCGGGGAUAACAGGCUGAUACCGCCCAAGAGUUCAUAUCGACGGCGGUGUUUGGCACCUCGAUGUCGGCUCAUCACAUCCUGGGGCUGAAGUAGGUCCCAAGGGUAUGGCUGUUCGCCAUUUAAAGUGGUACGCGAGCUGGGUUUAGAACGUCGUGAGACAGUUCGGUCCCUAUCUGCCGUGGGCGCUGGAGAACUGAGGGGGGCUGCUCCUAGUACGAGAGGACCGGAGUGGACGCAUCACUGGUGUUCGGGUUGUCAUGCCAAUGGCACUGCCCGGUAGCUAAAUGCGGAAGAGAUAAGUGCUGAAAGCAUCUAAGCACGAAACUUGCCCCGA